rnacentral:rRNA from 1 species
UACGAAGGGGGCUAGCGUUGUUCGGAUUUACUGGGCGUAAAGCGCACGUAGGCGGCCUAUUAAGUCAGGUGUGAAAUCCCGGGGCUCAACCCCGGAACUGCCUUUGAUACUGGUAGUCUUGAGUUCGAGAGAGGUGAGUGGAAUUCCGAGUGUAGAGGUGAAAUUCGUAGAUAUUCGGAGGAACACCAGUGGCGAAGGCGGCUCACUGGCUCGAUACUGACGCUGAGGUGCGAAAGCGUGGGGAGCAAACAGG